GGGGAUAUGGCGAAAUCGGUAGACGCUGCGGACUUAAAAUCCGUUGACUUUUUAAAUCGUGAGGGUUCAAGUCCCUCUAUCCCCA
rnacentral:tRNA from 5 species